UGGGCAUUUGGUAUUAAGUUAAAUAAGCCAGGCACGGAAAGGCAAAUACUACAUGACCUCACUUAUAUAAAGAAUCUAAAAACAUUGAACUCAUAGAAAUAAAGAGUAGAAUAGUGGUUACAAGGGGCUGGG